rnacentral:rRNA from 1 species
AUUGAACGCUGGCGGCAUGCUUUACACAUGCAAGUCGAACGGCAGCGCGGGCUUCGGCCUGGCGGCGAGUGGCGAACGGGUGAGUAAUGCAUCGGAACGUGCCCAGUAGUGGGGGAUAGCCCAUCGAAAGCCGGAUUAAUACCGCAUACGACCUGAUGGUGAAAGCGGGGGACCGAAAGGCCUCGCGCUAGUUGAGCGGCCGAUGUCGGAUUAGCUAGUUGGUUGGGUAAAGGCUUACCAAGGCGACGAUCCGUAGCUGGUCUGAGAGGACGACCAGCCACACUGGGACUGAGACACGGCCCAGACUCCUACGGGAGGCAGCAGUGGGGAAUUUUGGACAAUGGGCGGAAGCCUGAUGCAGCAACGCCGCGUGCGGGAUGACGGCCUUCGGGUUGUAAACCGCUUUCGCCUGUGACGAAGCGUGAGUGACGGUAAUGGGUAAAGAAGCACCGGCUAACUACGUG